AUAGUUGACAUAUUGUCGUUUUAGGUGGUCUAUUUUUUUUAAACAAGGGGUUAUUUUUUAUAUGAGUUUAAUUUAUGUAUAUGAGUACACUGUAGCUGCCUUCAGACACACCAGAAAAGAGCAUCAGAUCCCAUUACCAUGUGGUUGCUGGGAAUUGAACUCAGGACCUCUGGAAGAACAGUCAGUGCUCUAAACCACUGAGAUAUCUCCAGCCCUAUGUUGUUGGUGGUUUUUUUAAAUGUUUGUAUGUAUGUAUGCAUGUAUGUAUGUAUGUAUAAGAGUGUUCUAUUUACAUGUAUGCCUGCAUGACAAAAGAGGGCAUUAGAUCCCAUUAUAGAUGGUUGUGAGCUACCAUGUGGUUAUUGAACUCUUAACCUCCAAGCCACCUCUCUAGCCCUAGUUUGUUUUUUCCAACCUUUACAUUCUCAAAUGUCUUAGUAUUUUAUACAAAAGCUCCCCUGUUGCCUUUGGUUAUUACAGGGUUUCUGUUGCUAUGAUGAAACAUCUUGACUGAAAACAAUUUGGGGAGGAGAGGGUUUAUUUUAGCUUAUGCUUUCACAUCACUGUCCAUCAGUCAGGGCAAGAACUCAAGGUAGGAACUGAUACUGACUUGCUCAGCUUGGUUUCUUGGACCAUUACUGCCCCAGUACAUUGGGCCCUCCCACACCAAAUACCAAUCAAGAAAAUGCUCUGUAUACUUGCCUACAGGUCAGUAUGAUGAAAGCAUUUUUCUCAAAUGUGUUCCUUCUUCUCAGAUGACCCUAUCUUGUGUCAAAUUGACAGAACACUAACCAGGACACUUUGGUAAUUGAGACAGUUAAAACUAGUUGGAUUCUGGUUUUAAUAAUUGAGAAAUUUAGAUUUUUCUAGUUAUAUAGUUGUAUCUUCAUCUGUGUUUCUCUUUUUUGGAAGUCAGGUACUUGAAUAGAAAGUAUUGGCUGUCCCUCCAAUACCAAGUCCAGUACAGUGGGUAGUGAGAGAUGUCUUGAUCUCUUUGUCUUGGUUUACAGUUUAGUGGCUGAUUUUUAAAUGUCUUACCUUGAGUGUGACAUUUGCUAUGUAGGUUGUUGAUAGUGUUUGAAUCAAAUACUUCUCUGGUUGCAGAGGUAAUCAUGGAUCUCCCUUUUCCAGUUUCUAUUUUUUUUCUUUAUUUUACUUUUGGUUUUCCGAGACAGGGCUUCUCUGUGUAGCCCUGGCUGUCCUGGAACUCACUCUGUAGAGCAGGCUGGCUUCUGCCUCCCAAGUGCUGGGAUUAAAGGCGUGCGCCACCAUGCCCAACAUCCUUUUCCAGUUUCUUAGCAUAGUGUUGUGUUAAUAGAUUCUCAGUGUUGAACAAACCAUGCAUUCCUAGGUUCAAUACUUCAUUUAUAAAUUUGUUCUCUGUUUUGCCCACAGUUUUCUUGCUCUGUAUGCAUUGUUAAAGAGAGAAAACAUCUAUAUGCCCUGUUAAAGAGAGGAGCCUCCCUCCCCCCAAAUAUCAAGUUUGAUUUUAGGUUUUAAUCUUUGAUUACAGAGGCUGUUUCAGUUGUCUUUGCACGAGAGUGCACAUGGGCUGUAUGCUGCUUCUUAGAGGAAGUUCUGGGGAGUUUGGAAAGUAGUAGUGUUGGAAGAUUGCUCGACUGUGAAACUACACAUGGGCUUAAAGUUCUUUCUAUUUCUUCUAUCAUUGUACCUUUUAAAGCUUUUUAAAAAUUGAAAUGUCAGCUUUAGUCUAUUUUUUGUAGUAUUUUUUUUAUAUUUUUAAAUUAAUACUAUUACACUUUUAGUAGUAUACAAUAACAGGUUUUAGUAUUUCAGCAUUUUUUAUACAGUGUGUAAUGUAUUUUUUAUCAUAUUUAACCCUCAUUACCCUAUGUAGUCUCUUUUUACUCCUACUGAUCAUCUUCCUAGUUAGUCUACCUUUUUUGGUGUUUCGAGUUUAGUUGAAGUUGGUUAUGUGAACAUGAGUGAGGGACUUUUUUUUUUUUUUUUUAAAACACAGAGAAAUAGGCAACCUAACAGUGGUGGCUGUAGCAUUGAAGAAAAUUUCUCUUCCAGCAACCAUUAACUAACUACUAGUAGAUCUUCAUGGGGGUGGGGUCGUCCUUUUGUGUCCUUCCACUUAACUGCAUUAACUGCCUAUAAACCCUCUGGAAAGGUUCAAGUCUUAUAAGCUCCUCCCCCAUCCUUGAUACAGUGUUGAACAGUCUAGUCUUGUGAGGUAGCUGCUGUGAGUUGAUGAGUGAUGUGCCAUGUCAUGUCUGGAAGCCAGCCUUUCUCCAGCUCUUAGACUCUUUGUGCCCCCUUUUCUAAGAUAUUCCCUGAGCUUUGGAUGGGGUGAUAACAGAUACUUGAUUUAGGGCUGAACAUGGAACAGUCACUUUCACCACUUUGAUCAGUUUUGAGUUUUCAGUAACCACUAUAAAAAGAAGCUUCUUAGAUAAAGUCGAAGAGCAGCUCUUACUUAAGGGUGUAAGUAAAAUAUUCAGGAGCAGUUUGAUGAGUACAUUUGCCUAUUUAGCCAAGCAACAGUAGUAGCUUCCCCACAGUGUCUUGUGACCCUCUCUAGCCAUGGACUGUUGACUAGAUGUAUAGUUGUAGGAAUAAUUCCUUUCUAUGGAGCAGGCCUUAAAUCCAAUUAAAACAUCUAAUUACCCUCAUCACAGUCAUGGCACUGUUGUACCAGUGGGUACAUCUCGCCUAUGCCUAUAUUAUAUGUGUAAAACAUAUCCUAUAUUAUGUGUAUAAAACACAUUAAAAAGGCACACAAGGCUUUUUCCCGAACUGUACUUGUGUUUUCCACCUUUUGCUUACUAUAAUGGCACUGUUGUCAGCACUGGUACAGAAAUAACUUUAGGUCCUCUAUUACUUUUAGGUGUAUGGGAGUGGCUUGUCACAUUAGUUAUUGGUUUUGGGACCCACUCUAAUAGAAUAAUUUUUAUCUGAACUAAUUAUAUGUGCAAGGUCUUUGCUAUUUGUAAAUAAGGGCAUGUUCUGGGGUUAUAGUGAUCAGGACUUUUGAUGGGCAUUAAUUAUAUGUAGUAUAAUGGAAGAAUGGGUCUUGUUUCUGAUCCCUAUGCACAGUUUCUAAAAAUCUUGGAAUUUGUUCUCUUAUGCUAAUGAAAUGAGUGGAGAGGGGUUUUCUUAGCUUUGAAAUGGGAGCUGGUUGUAUGAAAAACCAACAAUGUGUGUUUAAGGGGUUAGAUGUUGGUGUUCAGCGUUAUAAGGGAUGGUUGAUCUAAAGAAAGACCCUGCAGAAUGAAUUUAGGCUUCUCAGUAGCAGGGGAUUAGCCUCUCAAGUACUGAACCUUAAACUCAUUUUGCAUUAUUGUUGCACAAAAGGCAGUGUCAGUUUCUGUAUAGCAAAAUCUCUGAUCUGAUCUAGGGGUUGUCAGAAGGAACCAUUAUCUAAGCAGUUCUCAGCCAUAGGAAGCUUACUGGUUUGCCAGGUAUGUCUCAGAACUAAGUUGUGCAAAAGCUCUGAGAAUCCUUCAGAAGAGCAACCCCAUAAAGCCUCAGCAAUCACUGACUAUUUACAAAAGGCUACCACAAAGUCUAGGUGCCAUCAUUCCAGAAUUCAUGCCAUAUACAAUGGCUCUGCUAAUAUCUGCUACAGUUUAGAACUUUGAACUCCCGACCUUCCAGGAAUGCAAUCUCAGUGUGCCCUUAUUGUGGACACAUCAGUGAGCUGAGAGGAUGGCAUAUCGUGUUCUUCACUAACUCUUCACUCAGUUGUCUUUGUAAAAUUAAAUUAGGUUGACUUGUAGAUUGUACUAAUUUAAACAGCCACUCUGUAGCAUCAGCACUUCCCUUUUAUGUUGACAAUCCCAGAACCAGGGGUCCAUUCAACAGCACAGCUCCUACUCACUAAAGAUGGCGGAUGAGGGCCAGGCUACCCACUGUGGUGUUUGGGCAGGCUCAGGCUCUACAGUUUAGCGGACUAGUCCACUGGGAAAGAAAGAGCUGUUGGCUUUGUUUUCAUUUGCCUUUGGGAGAGUAGAUGUAGUUUCUGAUGAUGCUCAGUUUGUCAGAUCUUCCAUUGGUUUUUGUAUUGCUGUUACAUAAAAGAAUCUUUGCUUACUCUAAGAACAAAGGUUUUCCUUUGUUCUUUUACAGAGUAUUGAUGCAGAUUCCUUUGUUUAAUUUUUGUCAUGGCCAUACAUUAUGGGUGAAUUCUCCCUUACCUUAUUAUAUUGAGGUAUUUAAAGAUAUUCCUGUUAGGUCGCUGGCUGGCUAGGGAUUCCAGUAACCUCACUCAAGAAGGGAUGGAAUAAAUAGUAUUUGCAGAAAUGGUUUGGAAGUCAUUUAAUGGAUAACAGCCUGCCUGAGUAAUAUAUGGAGCAGCUGUGGACAUGGGGGAGAUGAAUUGUUACUCUAUUGCAGUAUUCAGUAUACAUCGUUUUAAA
rnacentral:lncRNA from 1 species